rnacentral:rRNA from 1 species
UACGAAGGGGCUAGCGUUGUUCGGAAUUACUGGGCGUAAAGCGCGCGCAGGCGGCCUUUCAAGUCAGGGGUGAAAGCCCGGAGCUCAACUCCGGAAUUGCCUUUGAAACUGUCAGGCUCGAGUACGGGAGAGGUGAGUGGAAUUCCCAGUGUAGAGGUGAAAUUCGUAGAUAUUGGGAAGAACACCGGUGGCGAAGGCGGCUCACUGGCCCGUUUCUGGACGCUCAGGCGCGACAGCGUGGGGAUCAAACAGG